rnacentral:misc_RNA from 1 species
GUGCCACAAUACCAUAACAUAAGCGAAUAAUCUGUUCAACAUACAAUACCACAUAACAAACACAUUACCGCGCACACAUCCCCAAUAAAUUCGCAUUUAACAAGUCACAUUAGAACUCAGCAAGUAAUUUACCAAACAAUUCCAAAAGAAGAUACAAAAUUCAAAACAUGGGCUGAUGCGCCGCAUCAUCAUCUUUAAUGUUUCCAUCCCCGCACUAGUCAAGUAGGUAAUCCAACAGAUAAUUGCAUUUUCACUGAGGUAUCAGUAGGCCAUGUCUUCCUGUGAGUCAAAAAUUCAGACAAGUCUAAUGCAGCAAUAUUAUUGACUGACAAAUUAAAAAGUACCUACAUAGCAUGUGGAUUUUAUUGCAACCUUACCACAGCAACACAGGCUGAAGCAUACUCUUCAUCGUCAGUAGUCAUAUUCACGAGAAUGUGACCUAUCUGAACGCUUGUAAUCCCGAUCCCUUUCUUUUGUCUCAGAUGCCCCGUGGUCAUAAGCAUAAUUAUCCUCUUCCAUUUGAUCAUAACGAUCAUGACCACGACUGGCAUCUUUAUAGCGAUCAUCCCCACCUUGUGCAUCUGGAUUCUCAUAAUCUCCUCGACCUUGGUGGUGAUCAUAAUAGUCAUAAUGUCCAUGAUCAUCUUCAGGUUCUGCAGGAUCAUAAUUCCUCUCUUUGUCACCGUGUCGGUCUCGCUCGUGUUUUGAAUCAACAUGCUCAUAAUCAUAUUCUCUAUCACGAGAACGCCCACGACCCUGGUCAACCUCACCUUCAUCCCUACCUCUUUCCCUGUCCUUCUCACGGUGACGAUCUCGCUCACGGUGACCAUCCCGGUCUCUGUCUUUGCCUCGCUCACGGUCACGUGUCCUAUCACGUUCGCGGUCUCGAUCACGGUCACGACCACGAUCUUUUUCUCUUUCUCUGGUUCUCUCGCGUUCCCUAUGAUGUUUGUCAUCUCUUUCACGUUCCCUUGGCCUGUCAUGAGAACGCUCACGAGAUUUCUCUCUGUCCUUAUCUCGCACCCUUUCACGGGACUUCUCCCGAUCCCUAUCCCUGUCAUCUCGUGCUCUUGGCUCCUCAGAGCGAGAUGCUGCCCUUCCAGGCUGAACCACCUCUCUAGUAGCAUCUUCAUUUCCAACUCUUGUUGUUCCAAGUCCACCACCAAGUCUGCGGGGACGCCAAUUGGGGACUGUUCUACCACGUUCUACAUCAACCAGCACUCUUCUAUUAUCAAUCUUCUUUCCAUCAGCUUGUUUAUACGCAGCUUUCAUAUCCCGUGUAUGCACAUACUCAAUGAAAGCAUAACCCCUGGGUUUAUUGUUUGUCUUGUCCAUAACCAAGCGAACCUGAAACUCAAACAAUUUAUGGAAUUGACACUACUAAUAACAUUAUAAUCAUUUUCGAUGCAGCGGUCAAAAAAGUUAAUGUUUUUUAUCUACUCAACGCGAUUAGGUAUAGUAAGCUCCUAAUGGCACGGCAGGCACUAUGCCUAAUUAGCCGUGCUCACCUUUGAAUCAAAGAGCUCCCAGGCGAGAUGCUUCACCAUCACUGCUAGAGUUGCACAAGAACUGUGGCCUUAUGUUUGCAAUAUAUUCUAACUCCCCUUACCAGGGAACAUUUUAAAAUAAAAUAAAUUAUUAUAGAAGUAUAGUCAAAUACCAGGUGUCUCCUGAAAUGCUUGAAACUUUUUUGAUAGCCUUUGAAUCCAAAAGUAAAAUCUUAGCAGCAUAGAUGGGAUGUAAGAAGAGUAAAGAAGAGAAAAGGUCGAUACUCCCAACAGUUUUUUUACCAAGUAAAGGCAAGUAUCAAUCUCCGGUGUUGCUUGGAAUAAGAGGCCAAAGAUAUAUUGCAUCAUUGCUCUGCUCAUCUAAGUGUUCAGCUUUGUUUCAUGUAAUGUAGCUCGGACUUGGAAAUUGAAUGGUUAUGUUUGGCAACUCAAAAAAACAUAAAGCUACCAGAUAAUUAAGUUUUACCCUUACCAGGAAAAUACCUAGGAGUUGAACAUCUUUACCUUUGUGGUUCUAGAAACUAAAGGAAUACCAGAAUGAAUAGUACUUGAAACUAAUGAUAUCCAAACCAGGAUAAGAGGAUAAAGGCAUCAAACUGAUACUCAAUAAUUGGAGUACUGUUACCUGAGGAAGGGCAUACUGGCAAUCUGACCUUUAUUUUACAAAGCAAAGAAAAACUAGUAACUUCACAAAAAAAAUCACCCAUUUUCAGAGAGCAGUAUGCACCUCGAACACCAGGGAAGAGUGCUAGCAGUUUAAAAAACAAUCCAUUUCUUAACUACAGCCUGAAGAGAUGCACCCAAAGAUACAAUUGAAAAAAAAGUUCUCCGGAUAAAACGUGUUUUUUGAUGAUCUGAAGCACUAAGAAAGUCGAGAGCUAAUCAGUUUAUUAUUUAACAGACAACUGCCGAAUUCAAUAAGUUCUUAUCAAAAUACUGAAGUGCAAUCCAUGCUAUAAGUUUAUACACAGAAUGUGAAUCGCAUGCACCUUUAAGUGGAAGUUUGAAACUUAGAAGAGUAAUGAGUGACACUUCCUUUUAGGUAAUCCACCCUCAUUUCAGAAAGUGUAUCGACCCCACAGUUCUUUAAAUUUUGGUUAUCAAAAUCUGUUUUAAUAAGAUGCUAAUUUUUUUUAUGAAGUACAUAAAGAGAAGCUGCUAAAAUCGUAAGAUGUUCUAUGCUUUAAGAAAUAAUAAGUUGUGGAAAUAUCAAUUUGAGAAACGGAGGAAGUACCAUGCCACCAUAAAAGUACACAUCUUACCAACCAAAAGCCAGUAACCUGAGCCCCAAAAGGGAUGCUCUAUAAUACCUACCCGCUUGAUUGGACCAUAAGCCUCAAAUUCGCGUUUGACUCUGCUUUCUGUUGUCUCAUAAUUAAGUCUUGCAACAAAUAGUGUCUUGUAUGGAUCCCCGGUAGCAUUUGGGUCGCUGCUAGGAUCAUAUUUUUCAAGCUCCUCAGCAGCCUUUUUAGCACCCUCCUCCAGCCGUAUCUUGUGGAUCCUAGCUCUUCGUUCAGUCGGGGUUUCAACCUCAGGGAUUGGUGGAGCAUAUUCUGGAUCACCAGGUUGAGCGAAGUUACUAACAAAUUGUGCCAUCCCAGUAUAUGAAGGGCAUUUUCUCUUCUCAGGGGGUGGUUUGUACUCCAAAGGUGGUCGGGGCUCAAACAACUUCAGAAGAUUAGCAGUCAACCCAGUUGGAUGACUUUGACCAAUCAGCUUGAGUUGCAUGACAUUAGCGCGAUUCUGGGCCUUUGCACGGGCCUGAACGUUAGGGUUGUUCCGCAUGAAGGCAUCGUUGAAGUCUCCCAUUGAAGCCGACUAGGGUUUUUGCUAGAUGCGAAUCGCCGCCACAAGAAGUGGAGUUACGUUAAUCGGACGAUUGGAGAGAUGGAGAAGAUAGCUGAGGCGGCACGAAGAACAAAAUAGAAACAAG